rnacentral:rRNA from 1 species
UACGGAGGAUCCAAGCGUUAUCCGGAUUUAUUGGGUUUAAAGGGUGCGUAGGCGGAUUAUUAAGUCAGAGGUGAAAGUUUGCAGCUUAACUGUAAAAUUGCCUUUGAAACUGAUAAUCUUGAGUAUAGUUGAGGUGGGCGGAAUGUGUCAUGUAGCGAUGAAAUGCUUAGAUAUGAUACAGAACACCAAUUGCGAAGGCAGCUCACUAAACUGUAACUGACGCUGAGGCACGAAAGCGUGAGGAGCAAACAGG